rnacentral:lncRNA from 1 species
CUUUGUGGAGUUGUGGUGAGAAAGGUGUUUUGUUGUGCGCGUGUCCGAAGGUGACUCCGGAGGAGAAGGUGGAUAUGAACUGACGGACCUUUUAUCUCUAAGCCAGAUGUGAUUUCCCCAUUGAAGAAAAGGAGAUAGCCGUGAAUGUGUGGAGAGUAAUGUGUUAAGGUGGCUCAAAGAAGAGGGAAGCCAUUGCAGAUAAAUGCUCAGCUGAUAUGAAGAGUCAAAACUUCAAGAUUUUAUUCCACCACUCGAUUAUCCCUUCCCUUUUUGAUGGCCAUUUCACUGCAGCUGGGGUCUAUACAGCUAUAAAGCGGGAG